rnacentral:rRNA from 1 species
AUGCAGACUCGCGCCAACACUGAUUUGACAAUGGAGAAGGUGGAUUUCAAGGGGAAGACCGCGGGAAAGCUGGUCGGCGAACCCGCAGAUGCAGAGGGCAAGAUCAGGGAGAUGAUGGAGCGUCUCAAUCUCACUUCGGCAGAGGCGGACGCCCUCAUCUUGGAGGAUGAGAAUGAAGCUGAUUUGGUGAAUCUCGAAUUUGCCUUAAUUGGUAAGGUAUUAUCCCCACAUACUCUGCAUAUACAGACUAUCAUGUCGGCACUUAGACCAGCUUGGGGGAAUCCAAAAGGUCUGGAUGCAAAACCAGUGUCAAACAAUAUUUUCAUUGUUGAGUUUGCAACUAAAUCAGACAAAGAAAGAGUGAAAGAUGGUGCUCCAUGGACAGUGGGGAAACAUGCGGUGUUGCUCAAUGAAUUUGAUCCGAAGCAGAAACCCUCUGAUGUUGUUUUCAAGACCAUUGUGUUGUGGGAAAGAAUCAUGAACUCUCGUUUUGAGCUAAUGAAUAAGCACUGGGGGGAGUUACUUGGAGCGAAAAUUGGAAAAGUUGAGAAGGUGGAUGUCGACGGUCAAGGGAGGGCAUCAGGAGAUUGCUUGCGGGUAAGGGUCUCUGUGGAUAUAACAAAACCACUAAUGAGAUAUGUCACUUCCUACUCAUUGAAGCUUAAGGAUUACGAAAGGUAUGAGGUGAAAUAUGAGAGACUCCCCCAUUAUUGUUUCUCAUGUGGGAUUCUUGGCCACUCUUCUAUAGAAUGCCCAAAUCCAGGAGAAAGGGAUGCCGAGGGUAAACUCCCAUACAAUGCAGACAAAUUAUGUAUGAAGGAGGAGAAAAGAAAGAGUUCCGCGGGAUCAAAAUCUGGUCAAAGCUUGCAAUCCAGUGGUAGAAGCUCUUAUCAUGAAGAUAAUUGCUGGGAAGCACAACCAGCUCCAAAGGACAUAUCAGGCGCAAAGAAAUCAGAAUCAGAGGAGGUUCAAGAUGAGAUCAUUUCUCCAAUAAAGUUACAAGACCAAAGUAUGAAACAGAAAGUUAUACAAAAGCUUGGGAAGGUGAGCAAGGAGCUCUUUCCACUUCGGACCGAGGCUACCAAAAUAGCCAGGCAAAAGAGAAAGCAAAUUAAGGUCUACAGACCUAAAGGGCAGGGUCAGAAUCCUCAAGAGAAGCUGAUGCAAGAGACUUACAACCUUGACCUGACAGCAAGUGGACUAGACACUAAUACCUGCGAUACUAAUCUGGUUCUAGUUCCAUGUAGGUAUGAAAAUCAAGAUGAUUGCUAUAAGAAGCAGAAGAAGGAAACCAUCGCUCAUACAUCAGGAUCGGCGGAUCAGGCGGUGGCUGCAGCAGAGCAGCCCCGCCACACGCAAUGA